CAUGACCUGGGGCUCUUCCCUGUUCGUGCAUUGCUCAGAGAGGCGCCUGUUAAGAGCAGUAGCUGAGUUACUGGAAGAAUCAGGUGGUAUACAGCCCCGGGAGGACUACGAGCAAGUGCUCUGUGCUCUUAGCUCUAGUACGCAUGCAUUUCUCCUCUUUAUCCUGAGGAGAAAUAUUUAGUGAUCUGAAUUAGAUAUUAGUAAAUGGUCCACCCAGUCACUAUUCUUUUGCUCAUUUUGUUUAUUUAUUCAUUUUGUUCACUUCCAAGAACCUCACUGUGCCAUGCUGGGUUCCAUAUUCUGAGGGUUUAGAGAUGAAUGUGGAGAUAGAGGGAAGGGAAGGGAUUGAUAUGACCUGAGGGAGAGGUCCACUGUGGCAGAAUGCACUAUCCCACCUCAUCCUCAUGUCA
rnacentral:lncRNA from 1 species